GGGGAAUCUUCCGCAAUGGGCGCAAGCCUGACGGAGCAAGACCGCGUGGGGGAUGAAGGUUUGUGGAUUGUAAACCCCUUUUGUCAGGGAAGAACACAAUGACGGUACCUGACGAAUCAGCAUCGGCUAACUCCGUGCCAGCAGCCGCGGUAAUACGGAGGAUGCAAGCGUUAUCCGGAAUUAUUGGGCGUAAAGCGUCCGCAGGUGGUUUAUCAAGUCUGCUGUCAAAGCGCGAGGCUUAACUUCGUAAAGGCAGUGGAAACUGAUGGACUAGAGUGCGGUAGGGGCAGAGGGAAUUCCCAGUGUAGCGGUGAAAUGCGUAGAUAUUGGGAAGAACACCGGUGGCGAAAGCGCUCUGCUGGACCUGCACUGACACUGAGGGACGAAAGCUAGGGGAGCGAAUGGGAUUAGAUACCCCAG
rnacentral:rRNA from 1 species